rnacentral:rRNA from 1 species
UACGUAGGAGGCAAGCGUUGUCCGGAAUUACUGGGCGUAAAGCGUGCGCAGGCGGUUUUGUAAGUCUGUUGUGAAAUCCCCGGGCUCAACCUGGGAAUGGCAAUGGAGACUGCAAGGCUAGAGUUUGGCAGAGGGGGGUAGAAUUCCACGUGUAGCAGUGAAAUGCGUAGAUAUGUGGAGGAACACCGAUGGCGAAGGCAGCCCCCUGGGUCAAAACUGACGCUCAUGCACGAAAGCGUGGGGAGCAAACAGG